rnacentral:rRNA from 1 species
GAGUUUGAUCGUGGCUCAGGACGAACGCUGGCGGCGUGCUUAACACAUGCAAGUCGAGCGGAAAGGCCCCUUCGGGGGUACUCGAGCGGCGAACGGGUGAGUAACACGUGAGCAACCUGCCCCUGACUUUGGGAUAAGCCUGGGAAACGUGGGUCUAAUACCGGGAAUACGACGCGCUCUCGCAUGGGGGUGUGUGGAAAAGUUUUUCGGUCAGGUUGGGCUCGCGGCCUAUCCAGCUUGUUGGUGGGGUGAUGGCCUACCAAGGCGAACGACGGGUAACCGGCCUGAGAGGGCGACCGGUCACACUGGGACUGAGACACGGCCCAGAC